rnacentral:rRNA from 1 species
GAUGAACGCUGGCGGCGUGCCUAAUACAUGCAAGUCGAGCGAACGGACGAUAUGCUUUCUUCUCUUAUGUUAUCGGCGGACGGGUGAGUAAAACGUGUAUAACCUACCUAUUAGACUGGGAUAACUUCGUGAAGCCGGAUCUAAUACCGGAUAAUAUUUUGAACCGCAUGGUUCAAAAGUGAAAGACGGUCUUGCUUUCACUUAUAGAUGGAUCCGCGCUGCAUUAGCUAGUUGGUAAUGUAACGGCUUACCAAGGCAACGAUGCAUAGCCGACCUGAGAGGGUGAACGGAUAGCCGGGAACUGAGAAAGGGUCGAGACACCGAAGGGAAGAAGCAGUAGGGAAUCUUACGCGAUGGGCGAAAGACUGACGGAGCAAAGCCGGGUGAGUGAUGAAGGACUUAGGAUCGUAAAACGAUGUUAUUAGGGAAGAACAUAUGUGUAAGUAACUGUGAACAUCUUGACGGUAACUAAUCAGAAAGCCACGGCUAACUACGUG